rnacentral:lncRNA from 1 species
UAUUGACAAUUUGAUAAAGAUGCAGAUGAGAAUGCCUUUUCAUAUUUUCAGAUUAAUUGUUUGUGUAAGGACAUUAUCCUUUUCCUUCUUUGGAAAGCUUUCCAGUGACGUCUAUUUGCAAGGAUGAUAAUUUUCAUAUCCGCCAAUUUAAUAUGAUAUCAUAAGCAGUUCAAAAACAAGAAAAUAAUUAAAAUAAAUAAAUAAAUAAAUAAGUGGUCUUGUAUGAAGUUUUGUUUUUUUCUUUUUAUUUUUUCCUGCAGGAAAACAAUAAUCUACUUCCUGACCUGCUUGAAUUAUUGGGUGGAAAAGAAGUUAACUCACUAUCCCAGUUCCAUGCAGGUUUCCUAUGAAGGAGAUUUACUAAAACAUGAUGGUCAGCGCUGCUUUUUCUUCCACUCUUGCCAGGGGCCAGAAUGCUUCUGUGUUCACUGAACAACAAAGAGAAACAACUUCAACCCAAGCAUGUUUUCCCUCCUGGAGUUUGGGGACCAGUACAUUUUGGAGAGAUAAAUACAUUGCUACCUAUACCUCCCAGACUGCACCAUACCUGCUGCAGGAUUGAAAUUUAAAAAGCAACACACCAACUGCUUGCUUUAUAGCUUUUCCAUGUACUGGUUGCCUCAGAGAAACUGACCCCUGAUUUUCACUCAACACUAACGUACAGGCUCAGAAUUUGAGUAGCACUAUUCACUGGAAAAAGUCAUUUCAGGACAGAGAGGUAUCAAAUGCAUGCUACGAAAAGUAUACUAAAGAUAUUAAUUAGUUAAUUCAUGGACUAUUCACCAUAAUUCUCAGAUGCGUUUUUGCAUUCUUUUUGUUUGGAUACUAGGCAAUUUGAAUCAUACUAACUUUGCAAAUACUGGCAAUGGCCUGAAGUAGAUGGCUGCUAUCCAUGUGGCUCCUGCCUCAAAUAUGGGUUUAUGCAAGACAGCAUUGUUUUGCAGCUCUAGUCUCCUCAAGGUAUGAUGGUGGCUAUCAUACUACAUAUGCUUAAAAUGUUUUCCUUAUAAAACAUGGGCAGAGCUCAAGAGAGUAUUUUAAGCCUGUGGAAUAGAUUCAUUUAGUGGAAGCAUAGAUUGCAUUGAACUAAAAUUAGUGAUAGGAAUAGUAAAAUCCACAUAUUCCAAAACUGAUAUGAAAGCAAUUUAGUACUUGUAAAUACAGUAAAAAUUAAUGCCAUACACAGGUCUACUGCUUUCACUGAUAAGAUGGCUGGCAAAUGUUGGUUAAAAAUAACAGCUCCUUGUACUGCAUAUAGGAAUCUUUUAAUGGCAUCUGGGGAUGAAUGUGGUAAUUCUUCAAAAGUAUAUAUCAGCACUCCAUUCUUUGGAAACUUUGCAGUGCAAGAGAAUAUCUAUGUAUUUACUUGAGUCAAUUUUGUUUCCUCAUCUGUUUUGCCUUUUAUUAUUGUUAUUAUUAUUAUUACUAUUUUAUUUUAUUUUAUUUUUAUUUUUCAUUAAGGUUGCAAAACACCAACAUAACUAACUAAAUCUAUCUAGGAUUUGAAUAUGUGAAUUAAUAUCUAGACUUUCUACUUAAAUAAAAACAUGCUUACUUUCCCCUACUGAUGAUUU